GGCAAAGCACAAACUGUUGAAAUCAAACGAUCCGGAACAACAGAUUGCGUGGCCGUUUUGGCGCCACGAAUUAUUGCAUAUUGUAUUUUCAAUUGCAUUAACCGCUACGCUACCGGAUCUUUCAGAAUGUCAUAUCAUGUAGCAAAUGGUACGGUAUAUUUUCCAUUUGGAUAAACACAUCGCUGCACAGCUGUUCAAGACAGGUUUACGUUAUAAGGUUAAAUUGUCAUCACAUUUCACGCCGCAUUGCCAUAGCAGUAGAGCACAGUUUAUAUAGAUAGCAAUCGCCGGUGACCCGAUGGACAUUUGUCUUUUUAUGGUAGCAAAUUGCAGGAGGUGAGACCAUUCGUCGUUAACCGUUUUGGUUUCUUUCCAAUACCAACAAAAUGUGUUAAGUGGAAUGCGCAUCAGCUAGGAAUAUUAAUCUGCAGGCAACAGAUGUAAAACGAUUGCUUCGCGAAUGCGUUUAACUAUUCAGAUAACUAAACGAAGCUUUGCAGCUCCAGUGAUAACGGGACUUACGCAGUUUCUGGGGAAUUUUACAAAAAGUAUGUAUGAAAAUUAAACAUAAAAUUGUACGUCAAUCGUUGCAAAGUAUGUUUGCCGGUUUCAUUUCAGAUUGGAAAAAAAUAUUAUUGGAGAAAAACCCAU